ACCACUGCCUUCAUACUUCCUAUGUAAAGGCAGGUGCUGGGGUCAGGGUUGGGCACUCUCUUUCACGCUGCUUCCUGUUCUGUGUUCUGCUUCUGCUUCUGCCGGACAGGACUCGUUAUGCACCAUCACUUUUCCCAUGUGACCAUGCUGAUGGAUACCUGCUCCUUGGCCACCCAGUAGCUGUCUGGAUUGUCAACUCCACUGUCAGGGUCACAGAGCACCUGACCAGAACACUCCUGCUCCUGAGAAGCCUGGCAAGAAGGUCCGAGAUAGUCUUCAGGAGCCAAACCGGUCCAUCGACUGACAUCAGCAGUCUGGCUGCCUACACCGAGAGCAGCUUAUUUUGGGAGCAGAUGGGUCACCUCCUAUACCUGUGACGAGGACAGACACAGGAACUGUUGAAUUGGCUUCGUUUUCUCCGACAGGCACAG
ensembl:lncRNA